CCUACGGGAGGCUGCAGUGGGGAAUAUUGGACAAUGGGCGAAAGCCUGAUCCAGCCAUGCCGCGUGUGUGAAGAAGGCCUUCGGGUUGUAAAGCACUUUCAGUGGGGAAGAAAGCCUUGGGGCUAAUACCCUCGAGGAAGGACAUCACCCACAGAAGAAGCACCGGCUAACUCCGUGCCAGCAGCCGCGGUAAUACGGAGGGUGCGAGCGUUAAUCGGAAUUACUGGGCGUAAAGCGCGCGUAGGCGGUCUGAUAAGCCGGUUGUGAAAGCCCCGGGCUCAACCUGGGAACGGCAUUCGGAACUGUCAGGCUAGAGUGCAGGAGAGGAAGGUAGAAUUCCCGGUGUAGCGGUGAAAUGCGUAGAGAUCGGGAGGAAUACCAGUGGCGAAGGCGGCCUUCUGGACUGACACUGACGCUGAGGUGCGAAAGCGUGGGUAGCAAACAGGAUUAGAUACCCCGGUAGUC
rnacentral:rRNA from 1 species